AGCACGCUGCGCCGACUACGCCACCAUCCGCCAGCAGGUGGAAGAGAUUCGUCGUGUGGGAGUCAACCACUUCCACUUCUCUCUCAACUGGUCCCCUGGUGCCAGCGGUAACGUGACCAGCCCAACACCACCUUACUAGGGUACUACCGCUGCUUUACGAGCCAGCUGCACCAGGCUAACAUCACGUCCAUGGUCACCCUGUGGCACCACACCACGCCAACGCUCC